CCUGUACACUCGUUCCCACUACCAACAUCUCACAAAGAGAAUUAGAUCUUCACAGAAACACUUCACAGGAGUAUUUCCUCAAAGUGGAAGUCAAGCUCUUUAAGAGAUGAAGGCCCUUUUCCUCUCAGUUGUUUUCCUUCAUCUUUUGAUUUUAAUACAAAGUGUUGAGGUAAGGAUG